rnacentral:rRNA from 1 species
AGAGUUUGAUCCUGGCUCAGAGCGAACGCUGGCGGCAGGCUUAACACAUGCAAGUCGAGCGGGUGUAGCAAUACAUCAGCGGCAGACGGGUGAGUAACGCGUGGGAACGUACCUUUUGGUUCGGAACAACACAGGGAAACUUGUGCUAAUACCGGAUAAGCCCUUACGGGGAAAGAUUUAUCGCCGAAAGAUCGGCCCGCGUCUGAUUAGCUAGUUGGUGAGGUAAUGGCUCACCAAGGCGACGAUCAGUAGCUGGUCUGAGAGGAUGAUCAGCCACAUUGGGACUGAGACACGGCCCAAACUCCUACGGGAGGCAGCAGUGGGGAAUAUUGGACAAUGGGGGCAACCCUGAUCCAGCCAUGCCGCGUGAGUGAUGAAGGCCCUAGGGUUGUAAAGCUCUUUUGUGCGGGAAGAUAAUGACGGUACCGCAAGAAUAAGCCCCGGCUAACUUCGUGCCAGCAGCCGCGGUAAU